rnacentral:rRNA from 1 species
CGCUUGCUCCUGAUGUGCGGCGGACGGGUGAGUAUGCCUAGGAUCUGCCUGGUAGUGGGGGAAACGAUCCGAAAGGAACGCUAAUACCGCAUACGUCCUACGGGAGAAAGCAGGGGACCUUCGGGCCUUGCGCUAUCAGAUGAGCCUAGGUCGGAUUAGCUAGUUGGUGAGGUAAUGGCUCACCAAGGCGACGAUCCGUAACUGGUCUGAGAGGAUGAUCAGUCACACUGGAACUGAGACACGGUCCAGACUCCUACGGGAGGCAGCAGUGGGGAAUAUUGGACAAUGGGCGAAAGCCUGAUCCAGCCAUGCCGCGUGUGUGAAGAAGGUCUUCGGAUUGUAAAGCACUUUAAGUUGGGAGGAAGGGCAGUAAGUUAAUACCUUGCUGUUUUGACGUUACCGACAGAAUAAGCACCGGCUAACUUCGUGCCAGCAGCCGCGGUAAUACGAAGGGUGCAAGCGUUAAUCGGAAUUACUGGGCGUAAAGCGCGCGUAGGUGGUUCGUUAAGUUGGAUGUGAAAGCCCCGGGCUCAACCUGGGAACUGCAUCCAAAACUGGCGAGCUAGAGUACGGUAGAGGGUGGUGGAAUUUCCUGUGUAGCGGUGAAAUGCGUAGAUAUAGGAAGGAACACCAGUGGCGAAGGCGACCACCUGGACUGAUACUGACACUGAGGUGCGAAAGCGUGGGGAGCAAACAGGAUUAGAUACCCUGGUAGUCCACGCCGUAAACGAUGUCAACUAGCCGUUGGAAUCCUUGAGAUUUUAGUGGCGCAGCUAACGCAUUAAGUUGACCGCCUGGGGAGUACGGCCGCAAAGUUAAAACUCAAAUUGAGUUGAACGGGGGGCCCGCCCAAGCGGGUGGAAG